AUUGAACGCUGGCGGCAGGCUUAACACAUGCAAGUCGAGCGAGUGGCGGACGGGUGAGUAAUGUCUGGGAAACUGCCUGAUGGCGGGGGAUAACUACUGGAAACGGUAGCUAAUACCGCAUACUAUCAGAUGUGCCCAGAUGGGUUUAGCUAGUAGGUGGGGUAAGGGCUCACCUAGGCCACGAUCCCUAGCUGGUCUGAGAGGAUGACCAGCCCCACUGGGACGGAGAAACGGUCCAGACUCCUACGGUAGGCAGCAGUGGGGAAUAUUGCACAAUGGUCGCAAGCCUGAUGCAGCCAUGCCGCGUGUGUGAAGAAGGCCUUCGGGUUGUAAAGCACUUUCGGCGAGGAGGCGUUACUCGCAGAAGAAGCACCGGCUAACUCCGUGCCAGCAGCCGCGGUAAUAC
rnacentral:rRNA from 1 species